UACAGAGGUCUCAAGCGUUUGUUCGGAUUCAUUGGGCGUAAAGGGUGCGUAGGCGGCGCGGUAAGUCGGGUGUGAAAUCUCGGAGCUUAACUCCGAAACUGCAUUCGAUACUGCCGUGCUUGAGGACUGGAGAGGAGACUGGAAUUUACGGUGUAGCGGUGAAAUGCGUAGAUAUCGUAAGGAAGACCAGUGGCGAAGGCGGGGUCUCUGG
rnacentral:rRNA from 1 species